ACGGCAUUUAAACUAGGCUUGCAACCGCAUUAGAGCUGGAUGUUUCAUCUGUUUGCAUGCCUGUUCACCACGUGCAUGAAGUCCCUGCAGAGGCCAGAAGAGAGCAUCACACAACUUUGAAAAUCAGUUACAGGAGGAGCCAACCUUGUAAAUACCUUGACUUUGGACUUCUGGCUUCCAGAACAUGGAGAUUUUAAGUCUAUUCUUAAGUCCCAAAGAUUUCAGUGACUUGUUACUCAGUCAUGAGAAAUGAUUAUACCAAACAUCCCAGAUCACUUGGAAAACUUCAGCAGUAGAGUUCAGAAUAGGAGACUGGCUCUAACAGAGAGCCCAUCUUCGGGCAUGGCAUCCUCACUUCUAUACAUCAUCCUACCACCUGACUGUGCUGGCAUCAUGAAGAGCAGGAAGGAAAAGACAGGGGCAGCCAGAGCUUAAAGAUCAUCACCCUGGUGUGGACAGAUCCAAGCUGAGCCUUUGUUCCAGGUUUUAGCUUCAGUGAAAGAGCUUCAGGUCACAAAUGUUAACCAACCAAAGGAUCAGAAGGGCAUAUCAAGGGUUGAACAUGCAUUGUGCCAGGCAGUUUUUGUGUUAGGACAUUUUUAUCCUCAUGGCUAACAUCAAAGGUCAUUGUGAUUCCCACCAUGUUAAGGAUGAGAGAACUGAGAUGACAAAAAUCAAGUCACUGGCUGAGGUGCCUAGCAGGAAAGUGAAGCAGGCAGGCUACCCAGAAGCCAUAAGCUGGAGAAUCAGGAAAUGGGAGCCUAUUGAGUCACCAUGAAGAGUCAUACAGCUGUGCUGACUUCUUCCAGGCCUGUGUCCACUCCAUCUGUUGUGGUUUGAAAUUCUCCUUCAACUUUCCUUCUCCUGUAAACUGAGAAGGAUGAUGGCCAAAUCAGCAACACAGAAAAUCACCAUCGUUUGCGUAUGUUAGACUGUUUCUGCACUGUGACAGAACACAUGAGACAGUCAAAUUAAAAGAUGAAAGGUUUUGGUUAAGAGUUUCAGAGACUUCAACCUAUGAUGCCUGGCUCCAUUGCCUUAGGCCUGUCACAAGGAAAAAAUAGCAUGGCCUAAAGCAAAAGAAAGCUGCUUACCUCCAAGAGGCCAGCAAAGAGAAAGAGAUCCAAACCAAGGUAUGUCUUCCAGAAACACACCACCAAUGAUCUACUUCCUCCAAUCAGGCCCUGCCUCCUACUUUUACCACCUCCUAUUAACGCCAUCAUGGUGUGAAUCCCCAGAUGGAUUAGGCUGUGCAUGAAAUGCCACCUGACUCGCGAUCCAAUAAUCUCUCAGUAGCGCCAUCUGGGAACCAAACUAUCUACACAGGAGCCUCCUGGGACACACUCCCUCUCCAAGCCAUGAGCAGGAUGACUGGGGCACCUUCAGACAGACACUUACUUAUAAGAAUGUUUGAAAAUAGAUUAUUUCUGAUAAGUCACACAAUCUUGAACUUAAUAAUAUCCCAGGACUGGAGAGAAGAUGGUUCAACAGACAAGAACGGAUAAAAACUGGAGUUCAGAGCUCAGGACCCAUGUAACAAACUAGGUAUCCCCAACAAAAUACCUGCAAAUCCAGAUUUUAUGGGAGGUGGAAGUAAGAGGAAUGCUGAGGGGUUCUGGCUUCCAUCCCUGCAAGUAUGAGAGCCACAGUUCAGAGAGAGACCCUGCCCCAAAGGAAUAGAGAGAGAGUUAUAAAAGAGGACACCUGACACCCUCCUCUGGCCUUGGAGUAUGCUCACACACGAGCGUGCGCACGCGCACACACACACACACACAUGCACCAACCUAUACACACAUACACUCACAUAUACUGUACACGUGCAUACACUCACAUAAACAUAUACACAAAUUAAUAAAAUAAAUUUUAAAAAUUAUGUAGGUGCUAAGGGGUAUUUGGGGGGAAAAAGGCAUUUUCUUCAGUUGUGUAGCCACUGGUAAGUUGCCCUGGCUCUUGUAAAUAGCCUUUCACCCAUUCUGCUAAUAAGAAACCCUAAGAAAAUUCAUUGGGUCUCCCUGCCCUCCAAAUAAGAUGAAAGUAAAAUGGGACUAACUGUGAAGAGGAGGGGGUCAUUUGGGAGCAUGAGAGGGACAAGAGAGGAUAAUGGCUGGUCAAGUCUAUCAAAAUACAUUACAUCCAUACAGGCAAAUAUCAUAAUAAGAUCAAUUCUUAUUUGUAAUUAAUAAAAGCUAAUAAAACAUUUUUAAAAUUCUAAACGAAUAUUUUCAGACUUACCUGUGAGUUUGACUGUUUUCUAUAAUUCAUCCUGCUAGCUGCAGAUCAGAGAUCGAAGGAGGAGCCUCAGUGUUCACUCUGACAACAGGCAAGGUGGGACAUUUGUUUUUGUUUUUGUUUUUUCACACAUUGAUCAAGCUCAUCAAACUUAUCAUGCAUUUUUCAUCUUUGGUUUUACUUCAUCCAAUUUUAAGACAGGUUAAAGAAGUUAGAGGCACACUGAGCUGAGGUUGGUUGUGACCUUCACUGCAGAAUCCCCCAGAGAGACUUUAUUAGGGACUUGGCUUGGUCCCAAUGUGGAAUACUAACAAACUCUGCUUCAGAGAGCAUGCAGAAUCCACAACAUGGCUGUGUGGCCAACAGCCCAAGCUGUAACUCAGGUUCGGAAAAUAAGGAAUUUUAAAGGAAGAGAGGAAGAAAUGGAUGAACAAAAAUGCUCCAGGCUAUGCCUUCUAAAUUUCUGAAUUAAAACUCCCCAGGAGGUGUGAGCUGGACAAGGAGCUCAAGGCGGAGUGGGAGGGGGAGCUUCACGGGGAAGACUUACCUGCAAGCUCUCUGCUGAACAAGCAGGCAAGGUUCUAGGGAAGCCAUGGAAACCAGGAGUAAAGAUGACUCCAAAGGUCAGGUGACAGCUCCCUGGGGUGCCUGUUCCAUGACUAAAGCAGGUACAGAGAGAAGCUGCAUAGCUAGAAUUACCUUACAUC